UCCAAAGGGCCUGGGCUCUGGAGCUGGGUU
rnacentral:piRNA from 1 species